rnacentral:rRNA from 1 species
AACGAACGCUGGCGGCAGGCCUAUUACAUGCAAGUCGAACGCACCGCAAGGUGAGUGGCAGACGGGUGAGUAACGCGUGGGAACCUUCCUAGUAGUACGGAAUAACUUCGGGAAACCACAGCUAAUACCGUAUACGCCCUUCGGGGGAAAGAUUUAUCGCUAUUAGAUGGGCCGGCGUAGGAUUAGCCAGUUGGUGAGGUAAUGGCUCACCAAGGCUACGAUCCUUAGCUGGUCUGAGAGGAUGACCAGCCACACUGGGACUGAGAUACGGCUCAGACUUCUACGGGAGGCAGCAGUAGGGAAGAUUGGACAAUGGGCGAAAGCCUGAUCCAGCCAUGCCGCGUGAGUGAAGAAGGCCUUAGGGUUGUAAAGCUCUUGUGGCGGGGAAGAUAAUUACGGUACCCGCAGAAUAAGCCCCGGCUAACUUCGUGCCAGCCGCCGCAGUAA